rnacentral:lncRNA from 1 species
CAAAAAUCAUUGAAGCAUGCCAAAGAAAGUUAACAUUUAAAAAGGACAAAAUGGAAUAAGUUUUCCAAUUUUGUGAGCUAUAGUAACAUUAUAGGGAACUUGAGGGGCUGAAGUGCAAUUUUUGAAAAAGUUUCAUGCAACGGAUUCGAAGAAAUCUUCUUCUUCUUCUUCUCCGCUGGUUUCCUUCUGAAACUUUGCAGCUCAUCCAAUUGAGACGUCUUACGCAAUCUCAAAUCAAGCCAGCAAACUCAUGAACCAAACCCAUUAAAACUUCAACACACUUUAAUUAACACAACAAAAAAUGCUGGAGACAAGUCAUUGAAGAUCCAACAAAGAACUAAAUGGAAAAACAUGCCAUCAACCGAGAAAAAAACCAGUUUUCUGGUGAAUCCUAGAUGGGUCUAUCAAAAGCUAACACUCCUCAGCCAACCCAUUGAACUAUCAAGCAUCAGACUAGUCUAAAGCUUUGACAAAAUCAAACCAUCAAAAGCCACUUUCUCCACAGCAUCAGUAACCACGCAAAAAGAAAAAUCCAAGAAACCCAUCUAUGCAAAUGAUUCCAAAAUCUCAUACAAAGUGUUAAACCAACUAUUGAAGGAAGAUUAUUGUUACCUAUGACCAGUUGACGUGCUGAAUCGAUGCGAAGAAACUGGAAGCAAUCGUCCAGUGUGCCAAAAUGAAGCAAAAAAAACUUCUUUCCCAGUUCUUCAAGGAUGACGUAGACAGCGAGUUCAAGCCCACUUUUGGUGAUGUUGAACUCGUUUUUUCCUGAAAUGUUCAACACGAAGUCUCCUUCCUAAGCAACGAAGAUUACCCAUAAAAAAUAAUUUUCCCAAAAAAAGUUAUAAACAGUUCAGAAAAUGGCCGGGAAGACCCCUGAAUCUCCAACCCUGGCUCAAAUUUUUGACGAAAAAAUUGUCCUUUUCUCUCUUUUUCCUCUCUGAUUUCUCUCCCUUUUUGCUCUCUCCGACACACCCUCUCUCUUUCAGACUCUCUCCUCCCUUUUCUGGUUUCUCUUCUCUCUUUCUCUCUUCUAUUCUUUCUCCCGUCCCUGUCCCAGAAAACCCUCUUUUUCUGUUUCUUUUUCUUGCCUUUCUUUUGUUUCUUGCCCGCAGCUCUUUUCUCUCUCCCC